rnacentral:rRNA from 1 species
UACGUAGGGCGCAAGCGUUAUCCGGAAUUAUUGGGCGUAAAGAGCUCGUAGGCGGUUUGUCGCGUCUGCCGUGAAAGUCCGGGGCUCAACUCCGGAUCUGCGGUGGGUACGGGCAGACUAGAGUGAUGUAGGGGGAGACUGGAAUUCCUGGUGUAGCAGUGAAAUGCGUAGAUAUCAGGAGGAACACCGAUGGCGAAGGCAGGGUCUCUGGGCUGACACUGACGCUCGAUGCACGAAGCG